AACCUGGUUGAUCCUGCCAGUAGUCAUAUGCUUGUCUCAAAGACUAAGCCAUGCACGUCUAAGUACAAACUAAAUGAUGGUGAAACUGCAAAUGGCUCAUUACAACGGUUAUGAUGUACCCGGGAGUUCCGAUGGAUAUUUCCAGUAACACUAGAACUAAUACAUGCUCCUGCGUUUAUUAGUUUCGCACAGUCCGUCGCUGAGUCAUGGUAAACAGUUGAUCGACUCGACGUCCCGGAACAGUUUCCGCCCCAUCAGCUUCGAUGGUUGGGUAUUGGCCUACCAUUGCAACAACGGGUAACGAGGAAUUAGGGUUUGAUUUCGGAGAGGGAGCCUGAGAAACGGCUACCACAUCUACGGAUGGCAGCAGGCGCGCAAAUUACCCAAUGCAGACACUGUGAGGUAGUGACGAGAAAUAAUAAAGCGGGACUUCUGUUUCGCUAUUAUAAUGAGGAAUAACCAAAGGUCAUUCCGAUUAGCAACUGAUGGGAAAGUCUGGUGCCAGCAGCCGCGGUAAUACCAGCGUCAGUAGCAUAUAUUAAAAUUGUUGCAGUAAAAACGUCCGUAGUCUGUACGUCGUCCCAACUCACUGCAGUCUCCGUUUUCU
rnacentral:rRNA from 1 species